AUACUUACCUGGGUGGGGUCAAUCGAUGAUAAGGAAGGUCGAUGGCCUAGGAAGGCCACCUCCAUUGCACUUGGGAGGGGGGUUUCCCUAGCAUCUCCCAUUGAAGAAAGUGAACGUCAUAAUUUGUGGCAGUGGAGGCUCGCAUUCACAUGGCCUCCAU
rnacentral:snRNA from 1 species